AGUAACAGGUCACCACUCUUCGGAUGCUGACGAGUGGCGAACGGGUGAGUAACUGACGUCUUAACGUGCCUAGUAGUGGGGGAUAACUACUCGAAAGAGUGGCUAAUACCGCAUGAGAUCUACGGAUGAAAGCAGGGGAUCGCAAGACCUUGUGCUACUAAAGCGGCCGAUGGCAGAUUAGGUAGUUGGUGGGAUAAAAGCUUACCAAGCCGACGAUCUGUAGCUGGUCUGAGAGGACGAUCAGCCACACUGGGACUGAGACACGGCCCAGACUCCUACGGGAGGCAGCAGUGGGGAAUUUUGGACAAUGGGCGCAAGCCUGAUCCAGCAAUGCCGCGUGCAGGAUGAAGGCCUUCGGGUUGUAAACUGCUUUUGUACGGAACGAAAAGCCCUGGGUUAAUACCCUGGGGUCAUGACGGUACCGUAAGAAUAAGCACCGGCUAACUACGUGCCAGCAGCCGCGGUAAUACGUAGGGUGCGAGCGUUAAUCGGAAUUACUGGGAGUAAAAGCGUGCGCAGGCGGUUUUGUAAACAGAGGUGAAAUCCCCGGGCUCAACGUGGGAACUGCCUUUGUGACUGUUAGGCUACCUACGGGGGAGGGGGAUCGAAGUCCGCCUGGUUUCAGGAAUGCUAAUU
rnacentral:rRNA from 1 species